CCUGAGAGAUGGGCGAGCGCCGUUCCGAAGGGACGGGCGAUGGCCUCCGUUGCCCUCGGCCGAUCGAAAGGGAGUCGGGUUCAGAUCCCCGAAUCCGGAGUGGCGGAGAUGGGCGCCGCGAGGCGUCCAGUGCGGUAACGCGACCGAUCCCGGAGAAGCCGGCGGGAGCCCCGGGGAGAGUUCUCUUUUCUUUGUGAAGGGCAGGG
rnacentral:rRNA from 1 species